rnacentral:tRNA from 1 species
GUAAGUAUAGUUUAACAAAAACACUAAGCUGUGGACUUAGAACUAGGAGUUUAAAUCUCCUUACGAACC